ensembl:lncRNA
AUGCUGGUUGAAGGCGGGUUCCGACGUGAGACACCCCGAAACCUGCUCCCCUGUGAGAACAAAGGCAGGUGCCGAGCGAGAGCCUGGUUGGUGCCGGACGCUCCCCGGCGUACUCCGGGCCCCAGAGAUUGCUCUGCCCACUGGAGCCGAGUUCCGUGCACACUGGAACCCCAGCUCCCCACCCAGCCCUGGCUGAAACCACAUAAGACUGUGCGUUAUGACAUCACCUGUUUUCGGGCUGGAGAACGCGAUCAGUAUUCUCGGCUUCUGCUUUUCUUAAAGGUCGCUAGCGUACGAGGAUCCGUGAAGGCCUGCAGUUGGCAGAAUGAAUCUGUGGAGAUGAUUUACACGAAUGAUUUCACUGACUUCUUCGUCUUUCCCCUGGGGGCACCCAAAGCCUUGGAUUGCAGGGGCCUAAGACCAGUCAGUACUACUCCGAAGGAGGAAUUAAGAAGAUGUGAUCCAAAAGGGGCUCUGCUUGAGCGCCGCUUCCCCUCCCACCCUCUCCAUCGCCCACCUCCACCAGGAAAAUUAUUCUUACCGAAGCUCAUUUUCCAAGGAACAAAUAUUCCAGCAAGAUCCCGAUUUCUGCCAGCUUUCUCUUCUAACUUCCCCUUCCAGAGUUUCCUGCAUUAAACCCUGUAGAAAGCAGAUUGCAAAGGAGAGGCCUACAGAUCUGGGUUUAUCAUUGUUUGGCCUGCAAAUGUUAGCCAGCACAGUUCUUUUUAACAUUGAAUUACUUAAAAACACUUGAUGUAGGAGAUUUUUGCCGCCACCCGCACCCCCACCCACCAACAAGUCUAGAUUUCUGGUGUCUCUUGAAAAUGGUUAGAUCUGGUUACACUGGAUGUGUACUGGUAUAUGGCCACCAUCUGCUGGAACCCAGCACCUGUUAUCUGCAUUUGGACAUGCAUUUUCAGGUUUACCAACGUCUCUGUCACUCUUCUGGGGUUCCAUUUUGCCACUUUAUAUACAUUGUCUUCUUGACCUUUGUAAGGAUUUGCCAUCUCAGAACUUUCUCCGGCACUCAAAUUACUAAUCUACUGACUGAUCCUCUUAACUUUAUCAUAGAACAUGAGUUAAAAAGAAACAUGUCAUCUCUUGGCUAUAGCAGAAGUUGAGGAAAAGGAUCCAAUGUAAAGAAUAUCAUGAUAUGCAGUUGCCUGGGUGAUAGUAAAUAAGGGAUGGAUUGCAAAGUGGCCUGAGGAAUCUUUUGCUGGUUGUGGAAAUGAUAUGUAUCUUGAUUGUGCUAAUACUUUCAUGGGUGUACAUAACUGUCAAAAUGCAAUAAACUGUACAGUUUUAUUAUGCAGUUAACUGUGUGUAAGUUACGUCUCAAAAUAGUGGAUUUUAAACAAAAACAGAAUAAUGGUUGUAUAAUAUUUUAACAUUUGUAUGUAUAACAAUCUGUUCAGUCAAAAUUCUAUAAUUGGAUAUUUGUGGGAAUACUUUUAGUGAAAAUAAAUAAUAUCAAAUAUGCAAAUUCACAAAAAGGAUAUCACGAUAUGUAUAUCAAUUAUACAUUAAUUAAAAAUAAAUUUAAAAAAGAAUACUCUGGUACUCUGACACAUACGUGUGUGUGUGUGUAUACACAUUGGUACUCUGACACAUACGUGUGUGUGUGUGUGUGUGUGUAUACACACAAGGGGAAGGACAGUUGUCUAAGAAGGGACUAUUAUGUCCUUUACACUGGUAACCUUAUUCCUUAUUCUAACUCUGUCUAAAUUCCCAUUCAAAUUGUAGCUUUAGGAGAAAGGGACCAAGGGGAACGUGGCAAUAGUAGGAGGCCCAUGAGAGUGUUUUCUUUGAUAAGCAUUAUCAUGUGGGGACUAAGAGCUGGGGCUUUGGAGUCAGAUACGGAUUUGAGCGCUGACUUGGACCCUUACUAGAUAUAUGUCCUUGGGCAAGUCACUUACUGUCUCUAGGCUUCAGUUUCCUCAUCUGUGAGAUUGAGUAAUAAUGGUACUUUCUCAAAGGGUGAUUGUGAAGACUGAAUGAGACAAUGCACCGUAGUGUUCAGGAAGUGACUAGAACCUUGCAAGCCCUCAAAAAGUGUUUGCUGCUAGCUGCCACAAUACAAAGGAUGUUAUGCUCUGACAUUGGUCUAGUUACCUAACUUUUCUAUGUCUUAAUCUUUGUCAUCUAAAAAGAAGAUAUUAAUAUUGGCUUAGUUAUAGACAGCUGUUUUGAGGAUUAAAGGAGUUAUAUGUAAAGCGCUGUAAGACAAUGUCUUGCAUAUAAGAAAUGCUAUAUGAAGAUUUACUCUUAUUGUAUACUGUGGUCAGGAGAUCUUUUUUAUUUUCCUCUUUGUUUUUCUGUGAAGAUCUUUGAUUUUCUUUUUAUUUUAUUUUAUGUUUAAACUUUACAAUAUUGUAUUGGUUUUGCCAAAUAGCGAAAUGAUUUUCAAGGUACUUCUCAAAAGUAAGGUAACGUAUUGUAGAAGUAGCAAUGGACAGAAAGUCAGAAGACCUAAGGUUUAGUUUAGUAGUGCUGUAAACUAAGUGAUCUGGGGCCUCAGCUUCCUUUUCUGUUAAAUGUGGAAGGGUCAUUAAGUGGGGUCAGGGCCAAUCCAGAUUAUAGGAAAAUUGAAACUUAUGAAAUAUGGAGACUUUCCUUAAGAAAAAAAUAUGAAACUAUGGAUGCAAAAUUAUUUAUGAAAGUGAAUACUUAUUUAAAAUUAAUAAAUGGAAUCAAUAAACUUUAAAAAGCUGAAAAUACUAUAAACAUCAUAAAAUCCAAAUAAAUAACAAAACUAUCAAUCAACUACCUGACACAACCCUAUAUUACUUUUUUCCCCUCCAUAUUUUUGGCUGUAUAUUUUCAUUUCCUUUUCAUAUGAGAAUGAUUUUUGCAAUAUUAUCUUCUAUGGAGAAAAUAGAAGGAUGAUUCAUUUUUUUCUCUAGUCUAGUGCCCUAGAACACUUAUGCAUCAUAAACAUUUUCCAACCUACAUCUUUGUGACAUGAUGCAUGUGAAUUGGCCUGGUGGCAGUAGAAAUAUUCCUAGAAUCCAUUCUUACAUUGGGACAACUCAAAACCAACAACCACACCUGAAAUGACUAUUAUCUCUUUCUAUAUAUAUAACCCACUAAACACAAGCUAAAGGUACCUCCAUCUCAACUUCCCCUUACCUAGAAUAACAAAUAUACCCAUGGCUUCCCAAUUUCUCUGGCAGGAGGGAGAGUUUGAAAGAGGUAACUUGAGUACAAAGAGUUUGUGUGGUCCUUACCAAUAAUGGUUAAUAGCUUGUUUUAAAAAAUUUAAUUAAUGACGAUGUGGACACAUUUCUCUGGCCUCUCCAAAGAGCCUUGGAAGGGGCCAGUGCUAGUGAUGGACACUAAGGUUUAAAUGUCAUUAAAUUUGUGGUUAAUUCAUAUCUGAGAAUCACAAAGACCUAGUCAAGCUCUAAAAUUCUGUGAAUUUGUUUUGUCUUACAAUUUCCAUGAGAAUCUAGUGCAAGCAGGAUUACUAAGACAGGAGAAGCAGGAGAAUAUCUGCAAGUAGGCAGGGAGAAAGUAAAAGCAGCUCUAGUCUCAAAAAAUCCCCAAAGUUGCCCGGGUUUUCUUUGUUCCCUUAUUUCUUCUGUGAGUCUAUUCCUUUUUUUUUUUUUAAUUAAUCUAUUUGUACUCACCCUAGUUCUUAAUAUCUUUCUUACAGAUGUGAGGAAACUAAGACAGAGAAAUAAUUUUAUGUAUUUUAAAGAGAGAUCAUUGUGGAAUAUGCUAGUUGUCUGGGUGUUAAAAAGGAAAGUGGGUGAAUAAAACAAAAAUCCACAUUAGAGUAAGGGAGUUUGGAAGGAUCCUGUUAAUUGGAGUAUAGAAGAGUUAUAAUUUUUAGACUCAAGUGUCUUAGAUAACAUUAAUAAAUGGAAUCAAUAAACUUUAAAAAGCUGAAAAUACUAUAAACAUCAUAAAAUCCAAAUAAAUAACAAAACUAUCAAUCAACUACCUGACACAACCCUAUAUUACUUUUUUCCCCUCCAUAUUUUUGGCUGUAUAUUUUCAUUUCCUUUUCAUAUGAGAAUGAUUUUUGCAAUAUUAUCUUCUAUGGAGAAAAUAGAAGGAUGAUUCAUUUUUUUCUCUAGUCUAGUGCCCUAGAACACUUAUGCAUCAUAAACAUUUUCCAACCUACAUCUUUGUGACAUGAUGCAUGUGAAUUGGCCUGGUGGCAGUAGAAAUAUUCCUAGAAUCCAUUCUUACAUUGGGACAACUCAAAACCAACAACCACACCUGAAAUGACUAUUAUCUCUUUCUAUAUAUAUAACCCACUAAACACAAGCUAAAGGUACCUCCAUCUCAACUUCCCCUUACCUAGAAUAACAAAUAUACCCAUGGCUUCCCAAUUUCUCUGGCAGGAGGGAGAGUUUGAAAGAGGUAACUUGAGUACAAAGAGUUUGUGUGGUCCUUACCAAUAAUGGUUAAUAGCUUGUUUUAAAAAAUUUAAUUAAUGACGAUGUGGACACAUUUCUCUGGCCUCUCCAAAGAGCCUUGGAAGGGGCCAGUGCUAGUGAUGGACACUAAGGUUUAAAUGUCAUUAAAUUUGUGGUUAAUUCAUAUCUGAGAAUCACAAAGACCUAGUCAAGCUCUAAAAUUCUGUGAAUUUGUUUUGUCUUACAAUUUCCAUGAGAAUCUAGUGCAAGCAGGAUUACUAAGACAGGAGAAGCAGGAGAAUAUCUGCAAGUAGGCAGGGAGAAAGUAAAAGCAGCUCUAGUCUCAAAAAUCCCCAAAGUUGCCGGUUUUCUUUGUUCCCUUAUUUCUUCUGUGAGUCUAUUCCUUUUUUUUUUUAAUUAAUCUAUUUGUACUCACC